rnacentral:rRNA from 1 species
CCAGACUCCUACGGGAGGCAGCAGUGGGGAAUAUUGCACAAUGGGCGAAAGCCUGAUGCAGCGACGCCGCGUGAGUGAAGAAGUAUUUCGGUAUGUAAAGCUCUAUCAGCAGGGAAGAAAAUGACGGUACCUGACUAAGAAGCCCCGGCUAACUACGUGCCAGCAGCCGCGGUAAUACGUAGGGGGCAAGCGUUAUCCGGAUUUACUGGGUGUAAAGGGAGCGUAGGUGGCAUGGUAAGCCAGAAGUGAAAACCCGGGGCUCAACCCCGCGGAUUGCUUUUGGAACUAUCAGGCUGGAGUGCUGGAGGGGUAAGCGGAAUUCCUAGUGUAGCGGUGAAAUGCGUAGAUAUUAGGAGGAACACCGGUGGCGAAGGCGGCUUACUGGACAGAAACUGACACUGAGGCUCGAAAGCGUGGGGAGCAAACAGGAUUAGAUACCCUAGUA